AAUUGGAGAACCUUGGCACUGGGAGAAUUCACAGUUAAAUUUGAAUUUCUGUGGAUCCUUUGGUGCCAUCGUUUAACAAUC
rnacentral:pre_miRNA from 1 species